rnacentral:rRNA from 1 species
GACGAACGCUGGGGGCGUGCUUAACACAUGCAAGUCGAACGGAAAGGCCCUGCUUUUGUGGGGUGCUCGAGUGGCGAACGGGUGAGUAACACGUGAGUAACCUGCCCUUGACUUUGGGAUAACUUCAGGAAACUGGGGCUAAUACCGGAUAGGAGCUCCUGCUGCAUGGUGGGGGUUGGAAAGUUUCGGCGGUUGGGGAUGGACUCGCGGCUUAUCAGCUUGUUGGUGGGGUAGUGGCUUACCAAGGCUUUGACGGGUAGCCGGCCUGAGAGGGUGACCGGCCACAUUGGGACUGAGAUACGGCCCAGACUCCUACGGGAGGCAGCAGUGGGGAAUAUUGCACAAUGGGCGGAAGCCUGAUGCAGCAACGCCGCGUGCGGGAUGACGGCCUUCGGGUUGUAAACCGCUUUCGCCUGUGACGAAGCGUGAGUGACAGUAAUGGGUAAAGAAGCACCGGCUAACUACGUG